CGUCAGCUCGUGUCGUGAGAUGUUGGGUUAAGUCCCGCAACGAGCGCAACCCCUAUUGUUAGUUGCUACGCAAGAGCACUCUAGCGAGACUGCGUUGACAAAACGGAGGAAGGUGGGGACGACGUCAAAUCAUCAUGCCCCUUAUGUCCUGGGCUACACACGUAAUACAAUGGCGGUCAACAGAGGGAUGCAAAGCCGUAAGGCGGAGCGAACCCCUAAAAGCCGUCCCAGUUCAGAUUGUGGGCUGCAACCCGCCCACA
rnacentral:rRNA from 1 species